GACGAACGCUGGCGGCGUGCUUAACACAUGCAAGUCGAACGGAAAGGCCCUGCUUUUGUGGGGUGCUCGAGUGGCGAACGGGUGAGUAACACGUGAGUAACCUGCCCUUGACUUUGGGAUAACUUCAGGAAACUGGGGCUAAUACCGGAUAGGAGCUCCUGCUGCAUGGUGGGGGUUGGAAAGUUUCGGCGGUUGGGGAUGGACUCGCGGCUUAUCAGCUUGUUGGUGGGGUAGUGGCUUACCAAGGCUUUGACGGGUAGCCGGCCUGAGAGGGUGACCGGCCACAUUGGGACUGAGAUACGGCCCAGACUGCUACGGGAGGCAGCAGUGGGGAAUAUUGCACAAUGGGCGGAAGCCGGAUGCAGCAACGCCGCGUGCGGGAUGACGGCCUUCGGGUUGUAAACCGCUUGCGCCUGUGACGAAGCGUGAGUGACGGUAAUGGGUAAAGAAGCACCGGCUAACUACGUG
rnacentral:rRNA from 1 species